rnacentral:rRNA from 1 species
CCAUACGACUCUCGGCAACGGAUAUCUCGGCUCUCGCAUCGAUGAAGAACGUAGCGAAAUGCGAUACYUGGUGUGAAUUGCAGAAUCCCGCGAACCAUCGAGUCUUUGAACGCAAGUUGCGCCCGAGGCCACCCGGCUGAGGGCACGCCUGCCUGGGCGUCACGC